rnacentral:misc_RNA from 1 species
GCCUAAGACCGCAAAUUCUUGAGCAAGACGUAGGAAAAGGCCAAGGAGGAGAAGCGGCGCAAUAGCUAGCUACUAGGGUUUUUCUCUCGCUUCUGCAACUUCCUCCGGUAUUAUUGACACCAUGUCUCGUGUGUACGUGGGUAACUUGGACCCCCGCGUUACUGAGCGUGAUCUUGAAGAUGAGUUUCGCAGAUUUGGAGUUAUAAGAAGUGU